AGACAGCAGCAGCCACGGGAAUACGGAGGGUGCAAGCGUUAAUCGGAAUUACUGGGCGUAAAGCGCACGCAGGCGGUCUGACAAGUCAGAUGUGAAAUCCCCGGGCUUAACCUGAGAACUGCAUUUGAAACUGUCAGGCUGGAGUCUUGUAGAGGGGGGUGGAAUUCCAGGUGUAGCGGUGAAAUGCGUAGAGAUCUGGAGGAAUACCGGUGGCGAAGGCGGCCCCCUGGACAAAGACUGACGCUCAGGUGCGAAAGCGUGGGGAGCAAACAGGAUUAGAUACCCGCGUAGUCCCUGUCUCUUAUAC
rnacentral:rRNA from 1 species